GGAUUCCCCGAGUAGCGGCGAGCGAAACGGGAACAGCCCAGCGCUGAAUCCCGUCACCCUAGCGGGCGACCGGGAAAUGUAGCGUUCGGGAGGAGAGUUAAUAUUUCGCGUGGUCACGGCGGCCAGUCCAAGUCCAUCUUGAAAGGGGCCCUGCUUAUCCGUAGAGGGUGCCAGGCCCGUAGUCGACGGUCGCCGGCCGCGACGGUCUCUCUCCCUAGAGUCGGGUUGCUUGAGAGUGCAGCCCUAAGCGGGUGGUAAACUCCAUCUAAGGCUAAAUACUACCACGAGACCGAUAGCGAACAA
rnacentral:rRNA from 2 species